rnacentral:tRNA from 1 species
AGACAGAUAACUAAAUAUAAGUAUGUCAAUUACACUGAUAAAAUGAUUAAAGCUAUCUUUGUCUU